GCAGCUGGAAACUGUUGGAGGAGAUCUUCAGGAUCUGUCAGGAAAACAAUCCGUGCUGUCAGAGACUGACUCAGCCAUUCAGAAAACAAAUUUAAACUGUGUUUUUAUCAACUGCGAGCUGCUGGCCUUGCUUUGGAGACUAGGAUUGAAAGCACACCUUUUGGAAGUUGUAUUUCUGCAGCUGUGUAAGACCACAACCCCUGAGAACAAACUGCAGUUUGUUGUACCCUGUUUCAUGGGAGAAAUUGCUGAAAAGAGAAUCAAAAUAAGUGUAUGCAAGCAAAGAUGGUAACUAGAAGGCUACAGGAGGAUUGUGCUCCUCACAAAAAUGGAUAUGGUAAGUUUUCAGGACAAAGUUUUGAUUAUAUAAUCAAAUAUUAUAUAUAAAGUUUUGGUUAUAUAAUAAGCAGAGGGUAAAGAGUAAUGAUUUUCUCCCUUAAUGUGUCCCAAUACCUAACAAGCAACGAAGAAGCAGCAGAUUCCAGGUGCUUUUCCCAGUGUAAACUGACUUGGAAAAGAAGGAUUUCGCAGUGUUCAAAGCAAGCAGAAGGCAGAGGCAAAGUGCUCAGACACCCUGGGAGGUUACCUGGGCAUCUCAGAGUCCUGUGAAGGGUUGGGGGUGUUGGUUGCUGUCCUCUGGCUGCUCUCCCUGGAGGGUUGUAUUUAUAAAUGCUGCCUCCCAAGUACUGACAGCACUGGUACCUCACAAGAGAUGGCAGAGGACAAGCGAGAUAAGCACGCCUUGAAAAAGGGAACUGUGGAUUUAACCACAUGGUGGAAGGCUCCAUACAGACAGAAAUGGGUUUAUUUAUUAGUGUUAAUUAUAAUUAUAUACAAUGGUCUGAGGGUUCUCUGGUGACUUUUCAAGAGCAGGAAUGUGAUGACUGGCAGCAAAGAAAUAACCUACAGCCACAGUGUUGAUAUCCCCAUGUGUUCAUCCCCGAGAAAAUCAAACCCAGACAUUGCUGGAAAACUGUGCAUGUUUUGCCCAGUUUUUUUAAUGCCAUUUUGUCCAAAGCUCUGGCCAUACAGCCAUGCAGACACCAGCAGCUUUUUAGGAAGUCACCAGUACCAGAGCAAAACCAGCUUCCUAAUAUUGUGCUGAGAGCAUUGAGCUGAGGUCUGUGGGGUUGGAUAACUUCUGCAUUGCCCCGAGAAGCUGUGGAUCCCCUAUCCCUGGAAGUGUUCAGGUGUCAGAAACAGGAUGGGACCUUGACUGGUUGCAGACUUAGGAUUUAUUAUCUGUCCGUGUCAUACAAGCAAAAAGCAAGAGACACAGGGAAAUAACAACAUCCAUACAAAUCCAGAUCAGAGACAAGGUGGCUGCCCAUGCAAAGCCUUUUUCUACAUAUUCUUUGAACUAAUAGUGUAAAAGAAAAGGUGUAAAAUUAUUAUAUUCUAACUAAUAAGAAAAAGACCUACAUAGGUUUAACAUUAACAACAGUGCUGGGGAGCAGCUGGACUUGAUGAUCUCAGAGGGCUUUUCCAAAAUGAUGACUUUGUGAUUUCAAUGAUUCAAACAUUUAAUUGCUACAGAAUUCCUUGCCAUCGGAGGGAGAAGAAACUCAUCAGUUCCAUCCCAGUUAUUUUGCCAUUACCAAACUAUGUAUUUUUUCCCCCUGCUAUAACUUGUUUUUCUGUUGUAAUUUCUUUUCUCUAAACCGAGACAAAGCCACAGUAAAUAUUUUAUGUCUUGUA